UAGGGAAUGCAGUUUCCCUUUCCAGGGACAUCCCAGCCUCCCUGUGGGCACCUUCUCCUCACCUCGAGGCCAAGCUGGAGAGCUCGUGCUUGCUGACAGGAGCCAGGGCUGAACUUAUUUUCCUUCCAUGAAGACAAGAGUAAUUAAAUCCAGCAGAACUUUUUUUUUUUUUUUUCUGGUGGCUGCAGAAAUGUGGAGUAUCCCCAGGCUUGAGGUGAAUUUGGGUGGGAAUCCCAGCUCCUGGAGACAGGAUUCCUGGGAAUAUUCCUGUGCCCCCUCUGGAGCCUGUCCCGCCUGCCCCAGGGCUCUCCUCCUUCCAGAAUUGUCAUCUGGAGUUUCCGCUGGCUCAUUUUCAGGAUCAUGCUCGGAGCGGGGCUGAUUAAAAUCCGAGGGGAUCGCUGCUGGAGGGAAUUAACCUGCAUGGAUUAUCACUACGAGGUGAGCGAUGUGCACACAAAACCUCGUUUCUCUUGUCUGCUUUUCUUUUGUAAAAUCAUUUCCCGCAGCCUUUCCUCUCGUGCCGGGCAGCUCUCCGUGUUUUCCCUCUUUAUCCCAGCCCCUGGCACUCGGGCCGUGUGCCUGUGCCAGCUGGGUGAUGCUGUUUUUCCCAACCACAAUCCUAAAAACACCAAUUCCUCUGCUCCCCUCCCCGCCGUGGAUCCAGGAGCAAAGCUGAGCCUCGCUGAGAACUCGCAGUGUAAAUCUGCUGCGGGGCAGGGACAGAAAGGAGAUUUUUUUUUUUUUUUUUUGUGGUGGUGGUGUUGUUCCUGCUUACACCUCCCAAAAAAAAGUGACCAUGUGAGAGCAGAGAGCAUCUCCGUGCUCUCCAACCCACGGAGCAGAUC